GUAAGAAUUAUCUGGGGAUCUUGUUAAAAAUGCAGAUUCUGAGUCAUUAGGUCUGGGGUGAAGAUCAAGAGUCUACAUUUCUAACAAGCUCCCAGGUGAUGCAGGG
rnacentral:pre_miRNA from 1 species